UUGACAAUCCCAAAUCUACAAUAGUUCUCAUUUUAAUCGAAAACUUUCCAAAAAUAUGAGGUUUAUUAAAAAGUAUUUUUAAAAUGCAACAUAUUGAUGAAGUUUUUUGAAAGAAUACUCAUCUAUCAAAAAAAAUUCUAGUUAUCCUAAUUUUUAAGUCACAAUCCAAAUCUACAAUAGUUCUCUAUAGAAAAUAAAAACAUUUCAAAAAUAGCAGGUUUCGUAAAAAUUAUUGAGAAAAUGCAACCUCUUGACAAACAAUUCUGAAAAAAUACUAAUCUAUCAACGACAAUUCAUGUUAUCCUAAUUUCAAAGGCACAACCCCAAAUCUACAAUAGUACUCUAUACAUAUGAAAACUUUCAAGAAAUAACAUUUUUUGUAAAAAAUAUUGAAAAAAGUGACCUAUUGAUGGAAAAUUAUGAAAUAAUACUCAUCUAUCAAAACCAAUUCUUCUUAUCCUUAUUUUUAAGUCAAAAUCCCAAAUCUAUAACAAUUCACUAUAGAAAUGAAAACUUUCUAAAAAUAACAGCUUUUGUAAAUAUUAUUUUAAAAAUGCAAUCUAUGGUAUAGAAAAUGUGAAAGAAUACUUAUAUAUCAACAAAAAUUCUUGUUAUCCUAACUUCUAUGUGACAAUCCCAAAUCUACAAUAGUUCUCUAUGUAAAUGAAAACUUUCCAAAAACAUGUGGUUUUAAAGAAAUUAUUAAAAAGAUGCAACCUAUUGUAGAAAAAUUCUUGUUGUACAAAUUUCUAAGUCACAAUCCUAAAUCUACAAUAGUUCUCUAUAAAAAUGAAAAAUUUCCAAAAAUAGCAGUUUUUGUAAAAAUUAUUGAAAAAUGUAACCUAUUGGUGAAAAAUUCUGAAAGAAUACUCUUCUAUCAAAACAAAUUCUUGUUAUCUUUAUUUCUAAGUCACAAUCCCAAAUCUAUAACAGUUCUCUAUAAAAAUGAAAACUUUCCAAAAUAUCAGCUUUUAAAAAAAAACUAUUUUAAAAAUGCAAUCUAUGAAAGAAAAAAUCUGAAAGAAUACUUAUAUAUCAACAAAAAUUAUUGUUAUCCUAAUUUCUAAUCCAAAAUAUAUAGUAGUUCUCUAUAGAAAUAAAAAAUUUCCAAAAAUAGCAACUUUGGUAAAAGUUAUUGAAAAAAUGCAACCUAUUGAUGAAAAAUAUUGAAAAAAUUCUCAUAUAUCAACGAAAAUUCUUGUUAUCUUAAUUUCAAAGUCACAACCCCAAAUCUACAAUAGUACUCUAUAGAAAUGAAAACUUUCCAAAAUAGCAGUUUUUGUAAAAUUUAUUGAAAAAAUGCAAUCUAUGGAAGAAAAAAUCUGUAAGAAUACUUAAAUAUCAACAAAAAUUCUUGUUAUCCUAAUUUAUAAGUGACAAUCCCGAAUCUAUAAUAGUUCUCUAUGUAAAUGAAAACUUUCCAAAAAUAGAAGGUUUUUUAAAAAUUAUUUAAGAAAUGCAACCUAUUGAUGAAAAAUUUCGAAAGAAUGCUCAUCUAUCAAAACAAAUUCUUGUUAUCUUUAUUUCUAAGUCACAAUCCCAAAUCUACAACAGUUCUCUAUAAAAAAAGAAAACUUUCGAAAAACAUCAGCUUUUAUAAAAAUUAUUUAAAAAAUGCAAUCUAUUGAAGAAAAACCUAAAAAUAUACAUAUAUAUAUAUCAAUAAAAAUUCUUGUUAUCUUAAUUUCUAAGUGACAAUCUCAAAUCUAGUAUAGUUCUCUAUAUAAAUGAAAACUUUCCAAAAUAUGAGGUUUUUCAAAACUUAUUAAAAAAAUUCAACCUAUUGAUGAACAAUUCUGAAAAAAUACUCAUCUAUUAAGACAAAUUCUUCUAAUACUAGUUUCUAAGUCACCAUCCUAAAUCUACAAUAGUUUUCUAUAAAAAUGAAAACUAUCUAAAAAUAGCACGUUUUAAAAACAAUAUUUUAAAAAUACAACAUAUUGAUGAAAAAUUCUGAAAAAAUACUGAUCUAUAAACACAAAUUCUUUUUAUCCUUAUUUCAAAGUCACAAUCCCAAUCUACAAUAGUUCUCUAUAAAAAAUGAAAGCUUUCCAAAAAUAGUAGGUUGUUAAAAUAUUAUUUAAAAAAUAAAACCUUCUUUUGAAACUUUGAGAGAAUACUCAUCUAUCAACAAAAAUUCAAGUUAUCAUAAUUUCUAAUCACAACCCCAAAUCUACAAUAGUACUCUAUAGAAAUGAAAACUUUUCAAAAUAGCAGUUUUUGUAAAAUUUAUUGAAAAAAUGCAAUCUAUGGAAGAAAAAAUCUGUAAGAAUACUUAAAUAUCAACAAAAAUUUUUGUUAUCCUAAUUUAUAAGUGACAAUCCCAAAUCUAUAAUAGUUCUC